rnacentral:rRNA from 1 species
UACAGAGGGUGCGAGCGUUAAUCGGAAUUACUGGGCGUAAAGCGCACGUAGUCGGCUUUGCAAGUCGGGUGUGAAAUCCCCGGGCUCAACCUGGGAACUGCAUCCGAGACUGCAUUGCUAGAGUAUGGGAGAGGGAAGCGGAAUUUCUGGUGUAGCAGUGAAAUGCGUAGAUAUCAGGAGGAACACCUAUUGCGAAGGCAGCUCGCUGGGACGUUACUGACGCUGAGACGCGAAAGCGUGGGGAGCAAACAGG